AAUCAAGUUUGUAACAAUCAUCAAGAUCAAGAUUGUGUUUUUGACUUGCUGUAGUAUUACCGGCACUGCCCCUAGUGCUAAUACAUCCAUACAAAGCUUCCUGCUGUCCGCCACGCCUCCAUACACUCACCCUGGGCACCGCCACCGCUAAAAUUGGAUCAAUCCCAGUAAUGGUGGUACUACCCAGUUUGCCCACCCUUGCCCGCACUGCAGCUAUUGGAGGAUUUAUUGUCAUUGGCAGUGCACAUUACUUCAGAGGGCGGAUCCAGGAUGGCAUAAAGCAGUCUGAGUACUACCAAGAAAGUCUAAGAAUAGUUCGAGAAAACAGAGGUGUUGCUCACUUGAUGGGUGAGCCAAUCAGGGACGGCAGGCUGGACUUGGGUGACAACAUAAACAAUUUUUGCACAGGCAAGGAGGCUCAGUUUCAAGUUCCCCUCAAAGGGACAAAACAGACAGGAAUUUUGUAUCUUUGGGCUUCAAGAUCUGACAGCAUCCAGCCUUGGUGUGUAGACCGUCUUGAGCUUAGUGUUGAGGACCAGCCUGGAAAACGUAUCCUGUUGAGGAAGGAGCACACAAGUGCAGAGAAGCAAACUUUUUUGGAUGUCAGCAGUGUUGAUCCCAUUGGCAGUCACACAGACCAUCACCAGCCUUAACACACCUCCAUCCUUCUGAUAGAUCCAGAAUACAAGAAAGUGGAAAAAUGGAUGAGGAUAAAAUAUCAUCUCAUGCUGAGCUAAAGAGGUUUUUUCAAGAGGCUGUGAGUCAUCUGUUGGAAGCUGAUCCACUCCUAUCUGAUCUCCAUCCACAGGUCACUCUUGAAGAGACAGGAAUGGUUUCCCAAUCUUUGAAAGCCAAUGAUGGACAUGCUGAGGCACCUACCUCCCCAGCCUGACCUACUAUGCCAGCCACACAUGUGUUGGUUCUUCCACAAUUCCACACACGCUUCCUCUAGUUGUGUGGCGAGUGUCCAACAAUUCCUUCAUCACAAGCAUUUCUCUUUAGGGAGUCUUGCAGUAUCUGGCCCAGUCUCAAUGAUUUUCCACUAUUAUGAAUUACCAGAUUAAGUGGAGGAGAUACCAUCAGUGGUGUAAACAGACAGGACACACCAUUUCUAACCCUUCGUUCCCUAAGUUCAACUUCUUACUGUAUGUGAAACAUAAGUGCAAUGUGUCACCUUCAGUGAUUAAAGAUCACAAGACCAUGCUCAGGAGUAUUUUCCAUCUCCAGGGGUGUGACCUAUCUAAGGAGCCAGUCCUCCAGAAGUUGAUCAGAUAAUUUUCCAGGAAGGGUUUAGGUCUUGGGGUGGGUACCCUUCUUGGAAUGUGGAUGUGGUUUUAGCAGCAAGCCUCCAUUUGAACCUCUGCAUUGGGCUUCCUUCUGGGACCUAUUGAAGAAGACCCUCUUCCUCUUGCCCCUUGUGAUGGUAAAAAAAAUUAGGGAACUGCAAGUCCUGUCAUUUUUGACUGCUAUGCAGGAUGAUGACUUACUUCUUUCUUAUCUUCUGGACUUUAUAGCCAAGAUGGAGACAGGGGAAUUUAGUGCCUUGAGAGUUUUGUCUUCAUAGUCUUGCCUCUGUUGUGAAUCUGAAGAAGGAGGAAUGUGUGCUGUGCCCUCUCAGGGCUUUGUCCCCCUACUGACAGGUAAUGUUGUCCUUUCACCCUUUCUUUCUUUGUUAAGGACCAGUUGAGACCAAUGUCUAAGGCAGCUCUCUCCUUCCUCAGAGAGACCAUUAAGGGGGAUCAUUAGGUCUUCUGGGAAGAACUGGGAUCCUUGCUGAAAGUCAGAGAACAUGAUAUUAGAGCUAUUACCACUUCUAUGUGUCAUGAUCGUUUACUCACUUGCAAUCGUACGAUUCCGGUUAUCUUUCUAAGAAAGUCGAUGUUACACUGAUCCUGGAAAGUUUUAAAGGUCUGGAUUUUUAAAGGGUUCGAGUGCCUACCCGACCUAUCCGAAAUCGCCAGAAUUACACCCUCUCACUCUACCUUGACACAGCACACCUGGAAUCACCUCUAAUACCAGAUCAAUGUUGGGGGAGUAGAAAACACAAUUAUUCUAUGUUACAACCACAUAUAUUAAUACUAAUGAUAAUUCACAAACAACAUGAGGUAGUACAUGUUACUACAUGACGUUCUCAUCACUUCACAUAACACCAGAACCCGUUUACACCACCAAUCACAGAAAUAUUUCUCUCAACCGCAGGAAUUUACUCAGACGCCAUUACCAUGUCCCCAGACAAUAAUUCCCAUAUUUCACCUCCUCAAGCGUCACAGAUCACCAUCAUCACCAAAGACUACCCAUAACACCAUAACAUCAUCCCCAAAAUCACCAAUACACCACAACACCAGCUUCCAAGGUCAGCACCUCAACCUCCACUCACAAAAUGGCUGCCAGUGUGACCUGUGACCCCUUCAAACAGCGUCACCAGCACAACUCAACAACCGAAUUUCAGUGGACAAGAGCUCUUGGUACCACAAAAGACUCACUAACCUGAUCCUGAAUAUCAAGGUUAUACCGCUACACCAAUACCUCCACGCACUUACUCCACCACCAAUCCACAUCAAGAUUCUUCCCUGAGAGUCGCCACCUUCCUCUCUACUUCAUGACCUAAGGCGCUCUACCUUCCCCUCCUUGGAAUGUGUUGUUGCCCACUCAAGCUCCCCUCGUUUCAACAUAUUUCCACCUCAAUUAUACUACCUCCCUUAUACAUACAAAGAUACAAAGAACUUAAAUUAUGAAGAGAAUAAUACUACAUGAUAUAAAAUGAGUAAAUAAGCCUUACACUACUUAUAACCAAUAAUAAGGAUAAUGUCUGAAAGGCAGGUAACCAGAACACAGGGGACACUCAGAAAACGUGUUCCUUUUCAAGGUAAACCUGGCCAAUAACAUGACACAUGUUGUUCUGGAGGAACAGACCCAUCUCUGGCAUUUUGGAGAUGGCAAGUUGGAGGACUCAUUCAGUCUUCACUGACCACUACCUCAAAGACGUUCAAUGUCAGGAUGGUGACACCUUCGCCUUGGGCUUGGUAGCGGCUGCUGAUGAUGUGGUCUAGCUUUCCCUCGCAGGGCAUUCACUUGGUCUCAGGGCUCCUCUCUUUGCAAGGUCUUUACUCACUUUGGAUGUGCUUUGGAUUUGAGUCAGUAGUAAAGCACUAGGCGUAUUCUGGUUGGGCACACCAGCAUACUGCUUCUAGAGACAAGGCACAGGUUCACGACUGGGGGAGUAUUUUAUGUUUGUGGACAAUUCGUCUUCUUUGCACAUACACCUGUUUCCCUUCCAUGAGUAUGACCCUCUACCUUAACAUUGUAGUCAGCAUAAGCUAUGAGUGAAACGAAUAGUAUUUUUAAUCCUAAAAUCCUCUUCGUGCCUUCCGUUACAAAUGUAUCCAUUCAAAAAUGUAUGUUGGUUUUAUCUUUUUGUGCUGUGAAAAUGGUUUGUGUUCAGGACUAAGUAUAAGCUAUGUAUGAUGCAGUUAAGUGAAAAAUGUAUUUUAGGAUUAAAAAUACUUUGUUCACCUUUUACUUGGUGGGUUAAUUAUGGCGAAUCUUUUCAUCUAGAGAUUUCAACAUCCGACUAAAACAUUAUCUUUCCAAAUGCUUAUGUUGAUGUUAUCGUUAUCAAAGAACUAAGAAGAAUGUGAAUUUGAAGUGUUGGAACUGUAUACUGAGCAGGAUGUGAAAAAUAAUA